AAGAUGACAGCGUGCUUGAAGUGUUGACACGAGAACCACCAAAACCAGCAGCACACGCCAGCGCAAAGGCUCUGGAGACUCGAAACCCAAGACACGACUCUUCAGAAAGGCACAGUGGAGCCAGAUGCUCACACCUGCGUGUGGUUUCUGCACGAGUAGGACAGCUUCAAGCACAGACGGAUCCUGAGCUGUGGACUGAUCACUCAGAACCAAGCGUGUUACCUUUAAAUGAUGCAUUUUUCACACCAGUGAACACCUCCUCCAAACUCCAAAGUUCAAAAUUAAGUUGUAUUUGAGAGCUGAUGGAAGACCGACUCCUCAGAACUCUCUGAAGCAGAAAUGCCACUCCAGCUUUUCAAACUGCCAAAGGGAGCUUUAUAAAGUCAACAAAAUACUUUAAGCUUUGAGCUGCUUGUGAGUGAGAUUCAACACAGACAUUCCACUUGUCUGGAUUUUCC